AACGAACGCUGGCGGCAUGCCUAACACAUGCAAGUCGAACGAGACCUUCGGGUCUAGUGGCGCACGGGUGCGUAACGCGUGGGAACCUGCCCUUAGGUUCGGAAUAACUCCCCGAAAGGGGUGCUAAUACCGGAUAAUGUCUUCGGACCAAAGAUUUAUCGCCUUUGGUUGGGCCCUCGUUGGAUUAGCUAGUUGGUAGGGUAAAAGCCUACCAAGGCGACGAUCCAUAGCUGGUCUGAGAGGAUGAUCAGCCACACUGGGACUGAGACACGGCCCAGACUCCUACGGGAGGCAGGAGAGGGGAAUAUUGGACAAUGGGCGAAAGCCUGAUCCAGCAAUGCCGCGUGAGUGAUGAAGGCCUUAGGGUUGUAAAGCUCUUUUACCCGGGAUGAUAAUGACAGUACCGGGAGAAUAAGCUCCGGCUAACUCCGUG
rnacentral:rRNA from 1 species